rnacentral:tRNA from 2 species
GCGGGCGUGGCGGAAUUGGCAGACGCGCCAGAUUUAGGUUCUGGUGGGUGACCGUGCAGGUUCAAGUCCUGUCGCCCGCACCA